AUUUUACCCACGAGAUGUCGAGGUUAAUAAGGAAAAUGCAAGAAGAGUCAACCAAACACGUGGUUUAUACAGGAACCCUAGAGUUCAUUGCAAAGCAGCCACCUCUGGAGAUUUUUCAAACAGUGCUCCUGGUCAGAUGAGCCAAUAUGAGAGAAUAAUUGAAACAUUGACGACUCUGUUUCCCUAUGGGUCAUUUUAGGUACCAUUAUUGGCAUUUACAAGCCUGCAAUGGUAACUUGGUUAGAAACAGAUCUAUUUACUGUUGGUUAACUCUGACAUUCGAUGACUUCAGACAAUGCUUGCGCAAUCCCUGGACUGUAAGUAGUGACUCAUCUGUAAACCUAAGAAAAUGUUUGUUGCAAGGAACUGAGGCCAUACAUCUGUUACCAGUUUGAUAACAGGUGGGUAUAGGAUUUUUAGCUCAAUACCUCAUCAAGCCAAUG